UGCCUGCCUACCUCUACUGUGUCUGCCAGCCUUUGAGUCAUGCGCAUAAACUAGCCACCUCGGGUGCAUAGACAAUUCGGACAGACACUCUAUCAAGUUCAAAAAUCGGAAGAGACGGUAAUGUUAAGAAAAGUCACAAAAAAGGACGUAUCCCUCUGGUGCUGAAAACAGAAAGAAGAAAAUGACAGAGGAGGAGAAAAACGAGCAAGAGACAGAGACACUGUUGAAGUACUUUGGAGCACAUCUCUACAACUACCUAACUCUACCUCAUCAAGUGGCUGAUAUGACACAGAAGGUUCAUCCACUGCAGAGUUGCAGAUACCUGAAAGCCAGG